rnacentral:rRNA from 1 species
GACGAACCGUGCAAACGUUGUUCGGAAUCACUGGGCUUAAAGGGCGCGUAGGCGGGCCAGACAGUCUGUGGUGAAAUCCUCCAGCUUAACUGGAGAAGUGCCGUGGAUACUGCUGGCCUCGAGGAGGGUAGGGGCAUCUGGAACGGUCGGUGGAGCGGUGAAAUGCGUUGAUAUCGACCGGAACUCCGGUGGCGAAGGCGAGGUGCUGGACCCUUUCUGACGCUGAGGCGCGAAAGCCAGGGGAGCAAACGGG